rnacentral:lncRNA from 1 species
GAGAGUUCUAGAAAAACCAUUCGUGAUUGCUGCAUAAGUGGUUUACGAUCGUUGUAUCCUGGGAGUGAUUGUCCACGGAGGUCACAGCAAUUAUUGACGGGCAAUUUCACUUUAGGACAUCGUGCUGUCACGAGACUCGAUCGGACGAUAAGUUUUAUAUUUCUGCAUUAUAUUGUUCUGAUCACUGCUGCAACUAAUUAUUUUUCCAAC